rnacentral:rRNA from 1 species
GUUGAACGCUAGCUACAGGCUUAACACAUGCAAGUCGAGGGACCGGCGCACGGGUGAGUAACACGUAUCCAACCUGCCCUUUACUCGGGGAUAGCCUUACGAAAGAAAGAUUAAUACCCGAUGUAAAGGAUGGGGAUGCGUUCCAUUAGGUUGUUGGUGAGGUAACGGCUCACCAAGCCUUCGAUGGAUAGGGGUUCUGAGAGGAAGGUCACCUACAAUGGAACUGAGACACGGUCCAAACUCCUACGGGAGGCAGCAGUGAGGAAUAUUGGUCAAUGGGCGUUAGCCUGAAACAGCCAAGUAGCGUGAAGGAUGAAGGCUUAUGGGUCGUAAACUUCUUUUAUAUAAGAAGAUGUAUUAUAUGAAUAAGGAUCGGCUAACUACGUGCCAGCAGCCGCGAUAAUUC